AAUCUAUCAUAUAAGAAAAGUCUACCAUUUGGGACUUUCUUAGGCUGUCCACAUCAGCAACUCUUCUAUGGUUGAUCCACAUCAGCAACUUCACCCAUUCUGUUGUUCAAUUUAUUCUUCAAUUCACCUAUUCUGUUCUUCAAUUUAUUCUUCAAUUCUUUCACGUUAAACUUCCAGCGGUUACGUCCCCCCAUUGUCUCCACGGUUACGUAAUUAAUUUAUCAUUCAGCAACCACUUCCAAUCUUCUUCUUCUACAGCGGUUUCGCAAAACCGUUUCUCUUUCAAAUGCUAUUCUCAAUCAAAUUUCCGAGUUCGUCUUCCUCUGCGCGCAAAUCUGCUACUCUCAGUGAUAGAAUUCUCAAAUUUCCAUUUUAUUCGUUUAGGGUUUUUUUCCCUUUCUUCGAUUCAUAACAACAAAUACAUCACUCUUCAAAUGCGCGAAAGCUCGGGUAUUACAAAUAUUCUCUUCCUUCUCCUAUCGAAGCAAUUUUCAAGCGGUCUUCUGGUGGUCGAAAAACAUGGAUCUCCCUUUUGAUUUCGGUUCUGAGCUUUGCACCUGAUCUAUAAAGUGUUUGAUGAAAGUUCCAAACCAAUCUCUCUUAUUUUUUCCUAUUAGCGACGCAUCUACAUCGUCAUCUCGAGUUAUGCGGAUUGAUUGGUUCUUUGUAGUAUUUUGAUUUUCUUUAUGCUUUGAAUUUCAGGUGGCGAUUCGUUUCGAUUUGGGUUUCUCUUAUUAAGCUAAUUGUUCAUAAACGCUAGAGAGUCAAAGAGGAAUUUACUCGAACGAUUUACGGUUAAUCUGCGGCGUCGGAUCAGGCAACACAAUGGUGAAAUUGGGAGUGGAGCUUGGAGAACUAAGAGCAAGCGUCCUUGGGAGAUGGUUUUAUGUAUGUAUGGGUUCCCAACGAAUGUGGCUGCUCUUCAUGUUUUAAUCGAAUUCUGCUUUCUAUGUAUUAUGAGGUUGAGUGGGCUUGGCAACACCCUAUUGAAUCAUUGGCUGUAACAAAGCAUGAUGCGAACAGUGUGAACAAAAAGUAGCAGCCGGUACCAUGUAGUUGAUUUUGCCAAUUGCAACAUAAAACAGUUGGAGGUGUAGUUUGUAAACUAAUUAGCCAGAAAACAAGGUGCAAGAGGCUGCCUUGAGAUCAAUGCCAGACAUUGUUGUGGCUACUCCAGGACGCAUGAUAUACCAUUUACCCAAUUCUAUGUCAGUGAAUUUGGAUGAUCUUGCUGUUUUGAUCCUUGAUGAAGCUGAUCGUCUAUUGCAGCUUGGAUUUGAUGCUGAAAUUAAAGAACUUGUUCGCGUGUGUCCCAGAAAAAAGCAUACCAUGCUUUUUUCGGCAACCAUGCCCGAUGAGGUUGCAGAUCUUAUUAAACUUCCCCUAUCAAAACCAUUGUGUCUUUGUGUUUAUCCAUCUGCAAAACGGCCAGCAGCCUUGGCUGAAGAUUGUCAAGAUGUUCACUUCCAGGAAGAAAAUCAACAAAGAUAAGGGUGAUGAGCCAACUGAAUUUGAAGAAUCAGUUGGACAGGUUAUAUAUUGCUUAUUUUUGUUUGAUACAUGUGAUGUUUCUUCAAUUUGUUUAGUUUCAAUGUAGGUAGCAGCUAUUGUCAUGAUCCAUGGUGCGCCAUUCCUGACUGUUGAUUCAAAAGAGCCUCAGUUGUCUGCUGAGCACGAAACAAAAACACCGUUUUUUGUUGCUCCGAAUGAAGCUAUAGCAAUACUAACAUUAUAAAAUGGUUUUGGAAUACUUCCUAACGAGAGUGAAAGUGCAUCAACACCGUUGGAAACUUAAAAAUCUCCUGAAUAUUAUGUUAGUGCAUUGAAAUGUCGAAGGAUUCAAGUUGAUGGUGAAAUGGUGCCGGUUUUGUAUGUGGUUAAAUCAUCUCAAAAGAUAAGCCAUUUUUUUACACAGGUAUGAACCAACCUGUGAUGGCGUGUGAGGUUCCUAUUCUUCUAAAAGAAGCAGAUGUGCUAACUUUUUGUAUUUCCCUAUGACCAAUUGAUGCAGGAGCUAGAUGUGACAAAUGUUCGCGAGCUUGAAGAUUUUCUAAUUAAUGAGUGCAUGUAUGCGUUUGAAGCCGUCUCUUAAUAAGAUAGCUGAAUCUACUAACGGCCGUCCUUCUGAGAUGGGCAUGGUUGCUGCCUCAAGAAAGUGCGAGGUACUUGGAAGUUAAACUGUUCUGAAAAAAAUUGAAUCCUUAAUGCAUGCACUUGACUAGGAAGAGAUGCAAAUGGAAGAACUGACAAAGAAAAAUGCACGAGUCGAUGCACGUAAGAUCUUUAGAUUUUGUAUUAGAUGGGAAGUGAAGCUCUUAGAUAUUAAGGGCGGGAAUGCAUAAAUGUAACUCCCGAUCUCCUCAUGUUGUAAAUGCUGAGGUUGAUUCCAUGGGAGGUGUUGUGGAUGGCGGAGUUGGUAUAGGUUUGAAAACCUCUUCGUGCCGAUCAGCAUUUGAGAAGGAUCAAGCAGAGCCCAGACAGGAAUACAAUAGAAGGAUCUAAUGAUGGUCCUGACAAUGACAUCUUAUGCAAUUUAUUUCCUAAUGAUACAGGCCUUGAGCUUAAUCACCCAGUUUCAUUGGAAGUAAGUUGAAUUGUGGCGUGGGUUAUCAGCAUCUUUGCUUAUCUGAUAAUGCAAAUCAAGGUUCUUCACAUGAAUCAAAAAAAGGCCUCAUAGUUGGAACAAUUAUAGGUUUAAUGCUUCUUGAUUUUUUUGGUAGCGUUUUGUUUUUCUGGUGCAAAGGGUACAAGCGUGAUGUUUUUGAAGAUGUUCCAGGCUAUAUUGACAGCCAACAGGGAAAAGGUCAAAUAUAUGCUUAGAUCUCGCUCGAGUGCAAGGCUGUAACUGGGCUAUCACCAUGAAGUUAUGCGCGACAGGUCUUGAAAUCACCAUAUGCAGGCCUUGGCAGAAAAAGUUGAAAGGAUGAAAUACAAAUCGACAUUUCCGACGAAGUUGAUUAUCCCGUAGGUGCAGGUGUAUGAGCAUAUAACUUAUGAUAACUAAAAAAAGUACUAUUAUUUCCUUUAUUCCGCUUUUAAGAAAAAAGUGGAAAAAUUUUUCUUUAUAAGAAGAAUAGUGUUAGCUCAUUGUUGGUUUUUCAUUAAGUUUUAUCAAUAUCUUUUAUGGAAGUGUCAAAAUUUGUUGU